GAUGAAGAACGCAGCGAAAUGCGAUAAGUAAUGUGAAUUGCAGAAUUCAGUGAAUCAUCGAAUCUUUGAACGCACAUUGCGCCCGCCAGUAUUCUGGCGGGCAUGCCUGUUCGAGCGUCAUUACAACCCUCAGGCCCCCGGGCCUGGCGUUGGGGAUCGGCGGAGCCCCCCGUGGGCACACGCCGUCCCCCAAAUGCAGUGGCGGUCCCGCCGCAGCUUCCAUCGCGUAGUAGCUAACAUCUCGCGACUGGAGAGCGGCGCGGCCACGCCGUAAAACACCCAACUCUUCUGAAGUUGACCUCGAAUCAGGUAGGAAUACCCGCUGAACUUAAGCAUAUCAAUAAGCGGAGGA
rnacentral:misc_RNA from 1 species